GACGGAGGAGGCUAGCGUUGUUCGGAAUUACUGGGCGUAAAGCGCGCGCGGGCGGUUAUGCAAGUCAGGGGUGAAAGCCCGGGGCUCAACCUCGGAACGGCCAUUGAGACUGCAUGACUUGAGACCGGAAGAGGAGAGUGGAAUUCCCAGUGUAGAGGUGAAAUUCGUAGAUAUUGGGAAGAACACCAGUGGCGAAGGCGGCUCUCUGGUCCGGUACUGACGCUGAGGCGCGAAAGCGUGGGGAGCAAACAGG
rnacentral:rRNA from 1 species